AUUGAACGCUGGCGGCAGGCUUAACACAUGCAAGUCGAGCGGUAACAGAGAGAAGCUUGCUUCUCUGCUGACGAGCGGCGGACGGGUGAGUAAUGCCUAGGAAUCUGCCUAGUAGUGGGGGAUAACUUGCCGAAAGGUAAGCUAAUACCGCAUACGUCCUACGGGAGAAAGGGGGGACCUUCGGGCCUUUCGCUAUUAGAUGAGCCUAGGUCGGAUUAGUUAGUUGGUGAGGUAAUGGCUCCCCAAGAGCGCGAUCCGUAACUGGUCUGAGGGGAUGAUCAGUCACACUGGAACUGGGACACGUUCCAGACUCCUCCGGGAGGCAGCAGUUGGUAAUUUUGGACAAUGGGGGGAACCCUGAUCCAGCCAUGCCGCGUGUGUGAAGAAGGUCUUAGGAUUGUAAAGCACUUUAAGUUGGGAGGGAGAGCAGUUAACUAAUAUUUGACUGUUUUGACGUUACCGACAGAAUAAGCACCGGCUAACUUCGUGCCAGCCGCCGCCGUAA
rnacentral:rRNA from 1 species